GACGAACGCUGGCGGCGUGCUUAACAUAUGCAAGUCGAACGGAAAGGCCCUGCUUGCCGGGUACUCGAGUGGCGAACGGGUAAGUAACACGUGGGUGACCUGCCCUGCACUUCGGGAUAAGCUUGGGAAACUGGGUCUAAUCCCGGAUAGGAGCCAUCUUUAGUGUGGUGGUUGGAAAGUUUUUUCGGUGUAGGAUGAGCUCGCGGCCUAUCAGCUUGUUGGUGGGGUAAUGGCCUACCAAGGCGGCGACGGGUAGCCGGCCUGAGAGGGUGUACGGCCACAUUGGGACUGAGAUACGGCCCAGACUCCUACGGGAGGCAGCAGUGGGGAAUAUUGCACAAUGGGCGCAAGCCUGAUGCAGCGACGCCGCGUGGGGGAUGAAGGCCUUCGGGUUGUAAACUCCUUUCGCUAGGGACGAAGCUUUGUUGUGACGGUACCUAGAUAAGAAGCACCGGCUAACUACGUG
rnacentral:rRNA from 1 species